GUUAGGGUUUACCUUCCAGAUUCUUCCGCUCCUCAGCUAUCUACUCUUUUCAUCCCUAUCCUCUUCUACUUCAUCUGCUUCGAAUCAACCGACCGCCAUUAUCUUACCUCCACAUCUUCUUUACUCUGAUCGGUGGCUUCCAACGACAUUUCGACAAAGGCUGUAUUUUCAUUUAUAGGAAAGUAGUGUGGUUGAGCAAUACUGAGAGGAUGAAAGGGUAUGCAGUUGAUUUCUUAUCGGUGUCGCUUCAUGCGGACUCAUUUUACUCAAGAUUGACACUGGAGAUGAGAACGAUGAAUCAGAAAGACAUGAUUCAGAAUCGAAUGAGGGAUUUCAUUUGUCAAAGAUCACAGAGAUGAGGCUCAUGCCUUCAGCUCCUACUCAAUUGGAUACUCUUUUUCAGAUAUUAUGUGAAUGUGCAGAGUUAAAUCCUGAACCCAUUGAAGUUAAGGAACAUCAUCUUUUUCUGGUUCCAGAGUAACACACGAUGACACGAACAACUUGUUUGUAGAAGGGAUGAAGAAUGAAGUAUCAGAGUACAAAUCCACAUAUGCUUACAUGAUUUCAAUCAUAUUUAAUCAUUUUUUUUCUUUAGGGAAUUUGAUUCACUUCAACUCUGAAAUUCCAAUUUUUUAGACUGAUUAAUUUUUUCAUAAUUUAGUGAAAUCAACCUUCACCAACGGUGAUGAUUAUUAUACCAAAUGUUUCAUUGGUUAAUUUCUGAAGAAAUAAUAACCAAUACGAGAUUGACACGUCUUUUAGGGCACGUGAAACUUGGACGACAAUAUGCGUUGUAACGUUGCUAAGACUGAUUUGAUAUUCCUCAGAGGGUAUGUUUCUUUCAUACAUCUUACAUCUGCCCCUGUUUCAUGACGAUAUGAAAGAACAGAGUUGUUGAAAAAAAAUCAUGAUUUCACCUUAUUUCUGGAAUUUCCAAGAUGGAGGACAGGAAAACAGACAACUGAAAAGCUACUGGUGUUGAUUUAGCUUGGAAAAUGGCCGAUGUUGUAUGGGCAAUUUCGGAAAACCACCGGUGAUACAAUGAAGAAAGUGGAUAUUCUUAACUUUUAUUGUAGCAAUAACAUCCUUUUUUGUACAACUAAAUACAACAUUAUACUUACAAAGAUUUUCUUUUUAAGGAAUUGAAAGUUAGGAACAGUACCUGACUGUUCCUCGGGUUACCAUA